CUAAACGAAGUUUAUUUUUAAAUGUCUUAAUUACAAUAAGACGAGUCCGGUUGGACGUUUAGU
rnacentral:tRNA from 1 species